AUUGAACGCUGGCGGCGUGCUUAACACAUGCAAGUCGAGCGGUAACAGGUGUAGCAAUACAUGCUGACGAGCGGCGAACGGGUGAGUAAUGCUUCGGAAUCUUCCUAGUAGUGGGGAAUAACCUGGGGAAACUCAGGCUAAUACCGCAUACGACCUACGGGUGAAAGCAGGGGGAUCGCAAGACCUUGCGCUAUUAGAUGAGCCGAAGUCGGAUUAGCUAGUUGGUGAGGUAAAGGCUCACCAAGGCGACGAUCCGUAGCUGGUCUGAGAGGACGACCAGCCACACUGGGACUGAGACCACGGCCCAGACUCCUACGGGAGGCAGCAGUGGGGAAUUUUGGACAAUGGGCGCAAGCCUGAUCCAGCCAUGCCGCGUGAGUGUAGAAGGCCCUUGGGUUGUAAACCACUGUCAGAGGGGAUGAAAUGCAUGGGAGCUAUCUCCUGUGUUUGACAUAGCCUCAGAGGAAGCACGGGC
rnacentral:rRNA from 1 species